UACGAAGGGGGCAAGCGGUACUCGGAAUUACUGGGCGUAAAGCGUGCGUAGGUGGUUUGUUAAGUCUGGUGUGAAAGCCCCGGGCUCAACCUGGGAAUGGCAAUGGAUACUGGCAAGCUAGAGUGCGGUAGAGGGUAGUGGAAUUCCCGGUGUAGCGGUGAAAUGCGUAGAGAUCGGGAGGAACACCGGUGGCGAAGGCGGCCAACUGGACGAAUACUGACGCUGAGACACGAAAGCGUGGGGAGCAAACAGG
rnacentral:rRNA from 1 species